rnacentral:pre_miRNA from 1 species
CUCUGCGGUGUCCUCAUUGUACAUGCUGUGUGUAUCUGUCACGUACACAGCGCAUGCAAUGUGGACAUCGUGGAG